ACCGGUCAGCCGGCUUAUAUAAGCCGGGGUCCGUGCCCACCGCGCGCACAGCCUGACUCCCCUUUGAGUGACAUCCCCAGCAGUGCGUUUUCCUGAGCAGCUACACACACCACAAAGGCUCUUUUAAGAGCCACAUUUUGAGAGCAUCUUUGGCUUUCAGCUACACACACCACAAAGGCUCUUUUAAGAGCCACAUCUUGAGAGCAUCUGACUUUAAAGUUCUCUACAGUCAACCACACUCACUCAACGACGAUAUCCACAGUUCACACUCUAUCAAAACCAAGGUAUGUGUAUUUAUUGUGACAGAAUUAUUAGACAUUACGCCAGUGGUUCUGAAUUCCAAUCUUGGGGACCUAUAACACUACACAUUCUGGAUGUCUGUCCCAUCUAACAUGCUCUGUUGGGUUUAAGGGGCUUCUAUUAUAUGAUGAGUUGAACCACAUGUAAAAGACAUCCAAAAUGUGCAAUGCAAGGGUCUUCCAAUACUUGAGUUGAGAACCACUGCAUUUGGCUUAUCAGGUUAGUGCACUGCAUUUUGUGUUUGUGUUAAUAUCACAGUACCAUGGAUUGCAAAAAACAAUCUUACUGGACAUUGCGAAGAAAAGCCAAGGCUAAGGUGGACAAACAACUCCAGUUAAUGGAAGCAUCACCAUCAUCAUGCAGGGAACAGUAUGGUGGCAUGAACAGUGAUACAAGCAGCACCGCUAAUGACAACAAUGACUUUAUGGACGGUUUGUCCCAUACUGAUGAGCCUGAAUGUGUCACCAUGGCAAGUGCUUCACAUAGCAGUGAAUCUGACACAGACUCAGACACAGAUUCUGAACUGCAUCCAAGUUCCCUUAAUGAUGACUUGGCAACCUGGGCAACAGAACAUCAAAUAACACAUGUGGCACUAAAUUCAUUACUUAAUAUCCUCCGCAAGCACGAUCUGAAUCUGCCAAAAGAUGCCAGGACACUAUUAGGAACAGUCCGUUCAAAUAGAACUGAAGUCCAAAACAAGGCUGGUGGCCAGUACUAUUAUUUUGGUCUACUGGAAUCCAUUUCGGGUGUACUCUACAACAACAUGGACAUUUUGCAGAACGUAAGCAAUUUGAAGCUCCAGGUGAGCAUCGAUGGUCUGCCUCUCUACAAGAGUUCAGCAACUCAAUUCUGGCCCAUUCUUGUAACUGUGCAACAUUUGGUGCAGGAGGAACCUGUGACAAUAGGUUUAUUUUGUGGUGAUAGUAAACCAAACUCACUGGAUGAGUAUCUUGAGGACUUCAUCUGUGAAAUAAAAGACUUAAGUCAUGGUUUUGAAUUUGAAGGACUCAAGUUAACUUUACAGCUUACCUGAAUGAUUUGCGAAGCACCUCCACGUGCAUUUCUGAAAAAAGUGAAGGGCCACGCAGGCUACCAUGGAUGCGAAAAGUGCAUUCAGGAUGGUGUGCACCUGGAGAACAGAAAUGACAUGCCUCUUAGAAAUAAUGUCAACUUCAGAAAUAAGACUGAUCCAGAUCACCACCAUGGCAUCUCACCUCUAGAAGAAACAUCCUUGGAUAUGGUCUCUGGAUUCCCCCUUGAUUACAUGCACCUUGUGUGCCUUGGUGUCAUGAGGCGGCUUCUCCACUUGUGGCUUCGACUGGGUCCUCUAACUUGCAGGCUGUCAGGAUUUCAAGCCACUGUGCUGACAGAAAGGUUGGUUGGUGCCAAAAAAAUCCGGGUUUAGACAGUUUUUAUUGUGCACAGGCCCUGUUAUGCUGAAAGACCUACUCAGCACGGAGGUGUACAAAAACUUCCUGCUGUUUUUUGUGGGAAUCUUGUGCAAUAACAGCCUAAUUGGUGAUCACAUCGACUAUGCCAAUGAUAUUCUGCGACUUUUUGUCACACACUUUGGACAGCUAUAUGGCCCCAAAUUUCUGUCCUACAACGUCCACUGUCUUGUACAUUUUGCAGAAGAUGCAAAACACCAUGGUGUCCUCGACAACUUCAGUGCUUUCCAGUACGAGGAUCACCUUAACAAGCUGAAGAGACUCCUGCGGAAACCUACAUGUCCACUGAGUCAAAUUGUGAGAAGGUUCUCAGAAAUGCAAAGCUGCAGCAAAAAAAAGGAGAAAACACAACCCACCACUGCUCAGAAAACAACACACGGCUGGCCCUCUACCUGAAUGUUUUCAUGGAUCUUCACAGUACAAAGAAAUAAAAACAUUUCUUACACUCUUAAACUGGACCAGGCCAACAGUUUUGUUUACAUAGAUGGGAAAGUUGCAAAGCUGCAAAAUAUAAUUUUAGCGAGGGAUGACAUUUACGUGGCCUACACUACCUUCAACAAUCAUGAACCUUUUUUUGAUUAUCCCCUUCCAUCCUCAGAACUUGGUAUUCAUCUAGUUGAUGGCAUCUCAGGACCAACACAUUUCUGCAAGUUUGAGAACAUUGAGGCGAAAGCUUUCUUAGUUCCUUAUGACCGUAAUUUUGUUUCAGUCCCUCUUUUACACACACACUAAUUUUUUUUUUUUUUGGACUUGCUACUUUUAUUUUAGGGUAACUGAAUCAUGCAUAUGAAAAACUGAAAUGUAAUAAGAAUUUUUACACUUUAUGGGGCUUUAGGUUGUUGCAGCUAAAAUAAAGAAAACAACAACAACAAAAAGAACAUGUACCUGAUAGUGGAGUUCGUCGGAGAAGGGAGUACCGGUCCUGUAGCAAAGUCCUGGUACUCAGAUGGCCACUCAUGGUGGCCUCCAUACAAAGACUUGGACCGGUUACUAAAGAGCGUCAGGUCGAUGGAGGCACCACAGCCAGAUAAGGGUUGGACCAAGCAUCAGGCCAGAAUUCUACAUGAGUCGGCAUCAUUUGACAACAUUUCCAAAAAAUGGAAAAGGGCAUGCUACACUUCUGACAUCUCAGAAUCUGAAAGUUCUAUAAAAAGAAUUCACAAAAAGAAAACAUUCUCAUCAGAUGAUGAGCUUCAUGAUACCCCCAACAAAAAAAUGAAAAUUAAUAGAGAGAAAGCUCCACCUACACCAAAAAUCCAGCCCGCACCAAAAGUUCUGCCUGCACCAAAAGCUCCAGCACCUCUAAAACACAUCAAGACAAAAGGUCCUGUUGUACGACCUCUGCUUACAACAAGCAAAGCAGUGAACUCUUUCAGCAAUUCACUUGUUAGUCACCACCAAAGGGCCAUGGAGAAGCCACAGCAGGCACGUUUUGAGACUUUCCCCAGCUGUCAAGCUCCAGAUGUUCCCAUGAGCUUCUCCCAGGCAGAUGAGCCACAAGAUACUUGGGGUGAACACUCACCUGACAUUCAAGAUAAUGCAUUUUCUGUGCUGAGACCUUCAAGUUCCAAGCAAGAAAGAACACAGCCUCAUUUCAGAGAGAGCUUCUCUCAUGCAGACCGCCAGCUGGAAACUUGGGAAGAACACCCAUCUAUCACUCAAGCUGUUCCAGUGAGCUUGUCCAAUGAAAAUGAGCAAGAGGAUGCUUGGGGUGAAGACCCAUCUAACUUUCAAGAGAACACAAUCUCUGAACAGAGACCCUCAAGUACCCACCAGGCAAGAACAAAUAGUGCUUUUGGUGUGAGACGAUGGAGCUGCAUCACUAAUCAAUGUACACCUGUUGAGAGGACAAUUCUGGAGGCACUUAACGAACUGGACAUGAAGAUCAAUCAUCUGACUUCAGUGCUCCAGUCUCUUGCAGCUAACAGUCGGUCCAGUGCUCCAGUGCUGCUGGUGGACAGAGAGGAUGAUGUCUUUCCUCUCACAACCAUGGAGGAACUAGACAAACUGGAAAGACAAUUAUCAGAAAAAGAAAUGAUGCAAAAGAUGGUGAACAGGUUAUCCAUCAGCGGAGGACACACACUGAAGAAAACCAUAUGGAGAAUAUGCUCCAAGGUUUUCGGUCCUGUAGCCAAACAGCUGAACUGGUGUGGUAGGGGAGAAAAGCGAGGGAUCAGGAAAACAAACAUAGGAGCACUCCUAAUAGGAGCAGCUAUGAAGAAUCCCGUGCUUCCGUCGCUAACUGAAGCAGAGGCUGAAAAACACGUUAAGGAUUAUCUCCGCUUGGCCCCAGGGAGAAUGCCUUGUUAAUCAACUUGCUUUUUUGUUGUUUGUUUGUUUCAGGAUUAAAAUAAUAAUAAUAAUAACAUAAACGACUGCUUAUUUUCAUUCACUGUUAAUAAAAUGAUACAAAUCAUUCAACAGCAUGUUGUGUUCUUUCAU
ensembl:lncRNA